AAUGAACGUUGGCGGCGUGGAUUAGGCAUGCAAGUCGAGCGAGAACCGUAGCAAUACGGGGACAGCGGCGAAAGGGAGAGUAAUACGUGGAUACCUGCCCUCGGGUUCGGGAUAGCUGCUGGAAACGGCAGGUAAUACCGAAUGAUAUCUCCGGAUCAAAGGUGUGAUUCCGCCCGGGGAUGGGUCCGCGUCCUAUUAGCUAGUUGGUGAGGUAACGGCUCACCAAGGCAACGAUGGGUAGUGGGUGUGAGAGCACGACCCACCUCACUGGGACUGAGACACUGCCCAGACACCUACGGGUGGCUGCAGUCGAGGAUCUUCGGCAAUGGGCGCAAGCCUAACCGAGCGACGCCGCGUGCGGGAUGAAGGCCUUGGGGUUGUAAACCGCUUUCGGAGGGGAUGAAAUGCGUGGGGGUUCUCCCCCACGUUUGACAUAGCCUCUAAAGAAGUACGGGCUAAGUUCGUGCCAGCAGCCGCGGUAAGAC
rnacentral:rRNA from 1 species